UACGUAGGGUGCAAGCGUUGUCCGGAAUUAUUGGGCGUAAAGAGCUCGUAGGCGGUUUGUCGCGUCUGCUGUGAAAACCCGAGGCUCAACCUCGGGCCUGCAGUGGGUACGGGCAGACUAGAGUGCGGUAGGGGAGAUUGGAAUUCCUGGUGUAGCGGUGGAAUGCGUAGAUAUCGGGAGGAACACCAGUGGCGAAGGCGGCUAUCUGGGCUGCAACUGACGCUGAGGCGCGAAGGCUAGGGUAGCAAACAGG
rnacentral:rRNA from 1 species